rnacentral:rRNA from 1 species
GACGACGCUGGCGGCGCGCCUAACACAUGCAAGUCGAACGAGCGAGAGAGAGCUUGCUUUCUCGAGCAAGUGGCGAACGGGUGAGUAACGCGUGAGGAACCUGCCUCAAAGAGGGGGACAACAGUUGGAAACGACUGCUAAUACCGCAUAAGCCCACGGUGCCGCAUGGCACAGAGGGAAAAGGAGCAAUCCGCUUUGAGAUGGCCUCGCGUCCGAUUAGCUAGUUGGUGAGGUAAUGGCCCACCAAGGCAACGAUCGGUAGCCGGACUGAGAGGUUGAACGGCCACAUUGGGACUGAGACACGGCCCAGACUCCUACGGGAGGCAGCAGUGGGGAAUAUUGCACAAUGGGGGAAACCCUGAUGCAGCAACGCCGCGUGUGGGAAGAAGGUUUUCGGAUUGUAAACCACUGUUCUUGGUGAAGAUAAUGACGGUAACCAAGGAGAAAGCUCCGGCUAACUACGUG